rnacentral:lncRNA from 1 species
CAACGCCUCCAGGCAAACCCACGUGAACCUCGUCCAGCCACAGGCCGCGCGCAGCAACGCCUCCAGGCAAACCCACGUGAACCUCGUCUAGCCACAGGCCGCGCGCAGCAACGCCUCCAGGCAAACCCACGUGAACCUCGUCUAGCCACAGGCCGUGUGCAGCAAUGCCUCCAGGCAAACCCACGUGAACCUCGUCUAGCCACAGGCCGCGCGCAGCAACGCCUCCAGGCAAACCCACGUGAACCUCGUCUAGCCACAGGCUGCGUGCAGCAACGCCUCCAGGCAAACCCACGGGAACCUCGUCUAGCCACAGGCUGUGCGCAGCAGUGCCUCCAGGCAAAAGUUUUUAAUUUUCUUUGGUUUGGGAAUUUUAUUUUAUAUUGGACUGAGUAACUCCGUUUCAAGGGCUAUGUCUCCAACAUGUUACAGUUCAUGGAAAGGACACAUCUGGAGUGUAAUUUACAAUGUAUCUGGGCACAUAUGGUUUAAAAGUUAUUUCUGAAUGCUAUACUGUGGGCCUUUUACCUUAAAAUUAUGUAGCAUUUUCAGAUUCAAAAGCAAGUGUUUGUGAGUCAGCUCUCACAAUUUGUCUCAGUCUCAAAAGCAGAUAUUAAAGGUCCACAUGAACCCAGGGAUAUUAUGUUAACUGACUGUGUUUUCGUAGCAAGCGGCUGUAUUUUAAAGGGAACUUAGCACUUGGAGGAAAGAGAAGCCUGGAUGUUUAAGGCAUGUCCUCUGGUUUCAGAGGAUUUCAAGCCCAGUAGGAACCACUGCAGCAUCCCCAAGCCAGCCUCAUCUCAUGACCUAGUUUUUACAAAAAUGUGGCUAGAAAUAUUGAGAACUGGGAGUUUAAAAUUCAAAACUUCAGCUAACUCUAGAAAGUCUUGCCGUGGAUAUAGAGACAGCUCUUUACAGAACUGAGGCACUGACGGAGCUUCUACAAUUCCAACUUCCUUACAGGAUUUAAACAACGACAACAAAGAAAAAAGCAAAAAACAAAAAAGUGGGAAAGGCUAAAUCCUGAGUGAUGAAUACACAGACAGGAAGAAGACAGAAAACCCAGCUUUUCUCAGAGAACACAAAGAUCAGGACGUCCACAGACUGGGGACUGUGAGCUUUCCAGCUCUGCUCUGUGGGCACAUGGGUGGUGGGACAGCAUUGACUUUUGUGUGAUACUAUAAUAAGUUCUGUAAACUAUACUUUUGUUUUUUAAGUUCAGAGUACAAAUUCAGGUUUGUUACAUAGCUACACUGUGUCAUGGGGGUUUGCUGUACAGAUUAUCUCAUCACCCGGGUAUUAAGCCUAGUGCCCGUUAGUUACUUUUCCUGGUUCUCUCCCUCCUCCUAGGCCCCAGUGUCUGCUGUUCCCGUCUAUGUGUCCCUGUGUUCCACCAUUUAUCUCCUACUUGUAAGUGAGAACGUGUGGUGUUUGGUUUUCUGCUCCUGUGUUAAUUUGCUGAGGAUAGUGAUCUCCAGCUUCAUCCAUGUCUCUGCAAAGGACAUCAUCACGUCUUUUUUAUGGCUGAAUAAUACUACACUUUCAAUCCCAUAAUUUUUAGGGUUCUAUGUUGAAUGCAUGCGUAUUCACAGAUGCUACAGUGUACAUCUGUCUUUUCCUCAGGAAAAAGACCAGGAAUCUGAAAGGACAUCAAGGAGUGGCCAUGAACGCACCAUGUGCCAUGAGGUCAUGGAGACCAUAACACGGCGGGGAUGCUGGAGAAACUGCCCAUGUCUUACCCUCCCAGGGACACAGUACUCUUCCUGGAUACAUGGAAGCAUUCGUUCAUUCAUUUUACAAAAUAUAUUGCUUUUCUAUAAAGAACACAGGAUUAUAAAGAUAUAUUAACUGUAUCCCCAGCUGCCCCUAAGAAUGUUACUGAGACAGACCAAAACUAAAAUACUAACAGCAACCAACUAGACACGCAAACAACCAAAACACUCACCCUGUCCCACGCUAAGGGAAACAGCGGGAUCGUAGGGACCGGUGUCCAAACAAGACUACGUGCUUAGGGAUGGUUUAGUAAAAAGUAGAGCUUGAGAGAGAACUUAAUGGAGAUAAAGAAGCUAGCAGGGUGAAAACACGGAUUGCUGGCAUUCUAGGAAAAGGAAAUACCAUUUCUGGAGACACAAAUUUAUGUAAAUGCAUGGCAUAUUUGGAGAAUAUAAAUAAUUUCUGUGAAUAAAAUACAUCAAAUUAGAUAAAUACAGCUAAAUAGUAUAAGCUUUAUCCUAAGGGUUAUGGAGAGCCAUGAAAAGGACCUCACUGCCCCACAUAUAACGUGGAAAACUCACUCAUGUGGCAGGCAGCCUAGGGAGAAUCUGGG